rnacentral:rRNA from 1 species
AAAGGAAUUGACGGGGGCCCGCACAAGCGGUGGAGCAUGUGGUUUAAUUCGACGCAACGCGAAGAACCUUACCAAGGCUUGACAUCCUCAGAACCUGGUGGAAACACUGGGGUGCCCUUCGGGGAACUGAGAGACAGGUGGUGCAUGGUUGUCGUCAGCUCGUGUCGUGAGAUGUUGGGUUAAGUCCCGCAACGAGCGCAACCCCUAUAUUUAGUUGCCAUCAAGUAAAGUUGGGCACUCUAGAUAGACUGCCAACGACAAGUUGGAGGAAGGUGGGGAUGACGUCAAAUCAUCAUGCCCCUUAUGUCUUGGGCUACACACGUGCUACAAUGGCCGGUACAGACGGAAGCGAAGCCGUGAGGUGGAGCAAAUCUGAGAAAGCCGGUCUCAGUUCGGAUUGUUCUCUGCAACUCGAGAACAUGAAGUCGGAAUCGCUAGUAAUCGCAGGUCAGCAUACUGCGGUGAAUACGUUCCCGGGCCUUGUACACACCGCCCGU